rnacentral:rRNA from 1 species
CCUACGGGAGGCAGCAGUGAGGAAUAUUGGUCAAUGGGCGUAAGCCUGACCCAGUCAAGUCGCGUGAGGGAUGAAGGUUCUAUGGAUCGUAAACCUCUUUUAUAAGGGAGUAAAGUGCGGGACGUGUCCCGUUUUGUAUGUACCUUAUGAAUAAGGAUCGGCUAACUCCGUGCCAGCAGCCGCGGUAAUACGGAGGAUCCGAGCGUUAUCCGGAUUUAUUGGGUUUAAAGGGUGCGUAGGCGGCCUUUUAAGUCAGCGGUGAAAGUCUGUGGCUCAACCAUAGAAUUGCCGUUGAAACUGGGAGGCUUGAGUAUGUUUGAGGCAGGCGGAAUGCGUGGUGUAGCGGUGAAAUGCUUAGAUAUCACGCAGAACCCCGAUGGCGAAGGCAGCUUGCCAAGCCACGACUGACGCUGAUGCACGAAAGCGUGGGGAUCAAACAGGAUUAGAUACCCGGGUAGUC